GUAGUCCACGCUGUAAACGAUGGGCACUAGGUGUGGGGGGUGUCGACUCCCUCCGUGCCGAAGCUAACGCAUUAAGUGCCCCGCCUGGGGAGUACGGCCGCAAGGCUAAAACUCAAAGGAAUUGACGGGGCCCGCACAAGCAGCGGAGCAUGUGGUUUAAUUCGACGCAACGCGAAGAACCUUACCUGGGCUUGACAUGUGGAUCGCACCCGCGGAAACACGGGGGUCAGUUCGGCUGGAUCUUCACAGGUGGUGCAUGGCUGUCGUCAGCUCGUGUCGUGAGAUGUUGGGUUAAG
rnacentral:rRNA from 1 species